GGCAAUGUGAUAAAUGCAAUCGAGAAUUUGAUAUAUGUGACUAUGGGAAUCUUCUUAAAUUUCAAAUUCAAGACCAUACCGCAGGGUCUUGGGUAAUAGAUUUCAUGAGUCUGGGGAAGAGAUAUUAGGUUAACCUGCAAAGGAAUUGUACUUGUUGCAAUAUGAAUUGCGGGAUGAUGCCAGAUUCGCAGAUAUAAUUUGGAGCACUCUCUUUCACCAGUAUAUAUUCAGGCUAAAGAUCAAAGAGGAAAUGUACGGUGACUAACAGAGGGUGAAGAUAACUGUUGUUAAAGGCAGACAAGGUGAAUUAUUCUUCAGAUAGUAUGUACCUGCUUGACUUGAUUUCAUAAUUUCCUAGAUAAUAAGUAAUCUGAAACCAAAGCCACUGAUUUUAGAUCCAGUAGCUUUGGUUCUUCAAAAUUCAUUUAGGCAUUAGCAAACCU
rnacentral:misc_RNA from 1 species